rnacentral:misc_RNA from 1 species
GAAAUGCGAUAAGUAGUGUGAAUUGCAGAAUUCAGUGAAUCAUCGAAUCUUUGAACGCACAUUGCGCCCAUUGGUAUUCCAUGGGGCAUGCCUGUUCGAGCGUCAUUUGUACCCUCAAGCUCUGCUUGGUGUUGGGUGUUUGUCCCCGUCUCCGCGCGUGGACUCGCCCCAAAGUGAUUGGCAGCCGGCGUACUGGUCCCGGAGCGCAGCACAUGUCGCGCAAACGAGUGCCUUGGUACGGCGGCGUCCAUAAGCCCCUCUCUCACGCUCUUGACCUCGGAUCAGGUAGGGAUACCCGCUGAACUUAAGC